CGGCAUGCCAACUAAAAAGGCGGUUGCUCCAUUCUGGACAACUGCUGACGAUACGUGUGCCCAGAGCGAAUCCAAAGCCUUGCUAAAACAGCGGCCUGCUGCUUUCAAUGAGCUAGUCUCUACCUGUAGCCUGGCACAGAU
ensembl:snoRNA snoRNA:Psi28S-3436a snoRNA:Psi28S-3436a